AUUGAACGCUGGCGGCAGGCCUAACACAUGCAAGUCGAACGAGUGGCGGACGGGUGAGUAAUGUCUGGGAAACUGCCCGAUGGGGGGGGAUAACUACUGGAAACGGUAGAUAAUACCGCAUACCAUCGGAUGUGCCCAGAUGGGAUUAGCUAGUAGGUGGGGUAACGGCUCACCUAGGCGACGAUCCUCUGCUGGUCUGAGAGGAUGACCAGCCACACUGGACCGGAGACACGGUCCAGACUCCUACGGGAGGCAGCAGUGGGGAAUAUUGCGCAAUGGACGCAAGCCUGAUGCAGCCAUGCCGCGUGGAUGAAGAAGGCCUUCGGGUUGUAAAGUACUUUCGUCGGGGAGGCGUUACUCGCAGAAGAAGCACCGGCUAACUCCGUGCCAGCAGCCGCGGUAAUAC
rnacentral:rRNA from 1 species